rnacentral:rRNA from 1 species
GACGAACGCUGGCGGCGUGCUUAACACAUGCAAGUCGAACGGUGAAAGCGGAGCUUGCUCCGCUGGAUCAGUGGCGAACGGGUGAGUAACACGUGGGCAACCUGCCCCUCACUUCGGGAUAACUCCGGGAAACCGGGGCUAAUACCGGAUAUGACCUCCUUGGGCAUCCUUGGAGGUGGAAAGUUUUUCGGUGAGGGAUGGGCCCGCGGCCUAUCAGCUUGUUGGUGAGGUAAUGGCUCACCAAGGCGACGACGGGUAGCCGGCCUGAGAGGGCGACCGGCCACACUGGGACUGAGACACAGCCCAGACUCCUACGGGAGGCAGCAGUGGGGAAUAUUGCACAAUGGGCGCAAGCCUGAUGCAGCAACGCCGCGUGAGGGAUGACGGCCUUCGGGUUGUAAACCUCUUUUAGUAGGGAAGAAGCGAAAGUGACGGUACCUGCAGAAAAAGCACCGGCUAACUACGUGCCAGCCGCCGCCGUAA